rnacentral:rRNA from 1 species
CCUACGGGCGGCUGCAGUGGGGAAUAUUGGGCAAUGGGGGCAACCCUGACCCAGCGACGCCGCGUGAGGGAAGACGGCCUUCGGGUUGUAAACCUCUUUUGUACGGGAAGAAGGACGUGACGGUACCGUGCGAAUAAGUCCCGGCUAACUACGUGCCAGCAGCCGCGGUAAUACGUAGGGGACGAGCGUUGUCCGGAAUUACUGGGCGUAAAGGGCGCGCAGGCUGUAGAUCAAGUCAGCUGUGAAAUGUCUGGGCUUAACCCGGGCAUGCGGUUGAAACUGAUGUACUGGAGUGCUGUAGAGGCAAGUGGAAUUCCCAGUGUAGCGGUGAAAUGCGUAGAUAUUGGGAAGAACACCGGUGGCGAAGGCGACUUGCUGGGCAGCAACUGACGCUGAGGCGCGAAAGCCAGGGGAGCAAACGGGCUUAGAUACCCCGGUAGUC